rnacentral:rRNA from 1 species
GUUUGAUCCUGGCUCAGGAUGAACGCUAGCGGCAGGCUUAACACAUGCAAGUCGAGGGGUAUAGUUCUUCGGAACUAGAGACCGGCGCACGGGUGCGUAACGCGUAUGCAAUCUACCUUUUACAGAGGGAUAGCCCAGAGAAAUUUGGAUUAAUACCUCAUAGUAUAAUGAGUUGGCAUCAACACAUUAUUAAAGUCACAACGGUAAAAGAUGAGCAUGCGUCCCAUUAGCUUGUUGGUAAGGUAACGGCUUACCAAGGCAACGAUGGGUAGGGGUCCUGAGAGGGAGAUCCCCCACACUGGUACUGAGACACGGACCAGACUCCUACGGGAGGCAGCAGUGAGGAAUAUUGGACAAUGGGCGCAAGCCUGAUCCAGCCAUGCCGCGUGCAGGAUGACGGUCCUAUGGAUUGUAAACUGCUUUUGUACAGGAAGAAACACUGGUUCGUGAACCAGCUUGACGGUACUGUAAGAAUAAGGAUCGGCUAACUCCGUGCCAGCAGCCGCGGUAAUACGGAGGAUCCAAGCGUUAUCCGGAAUCAUUGGGUUUAAAGGGUCCGUAGGCGGUCAGAUAAGUCAGUGGUGAAAGCCCAUCGCUCAACGGUGGAACGGCCAUUGAUACUGUCUGACUUGAAUUAUUAGGAAGUAACUAGAAUAUGUAGUGUAGCGGUGAAAUGCUUAGAGAUUACAUGGAAUACCAAUUGCGAAGGCAGGUUACUACUAAUGGAUUGACGCUGAUGGACGAAAGCGUGGGUAGCGAACAGGAUUAGAUACCCUGGUAGUCCACGCCGUAAACGAUGGAUACUAGCUGUUGGGAGCAAUCUCAGUGGCUAAGCGAAAGUGAUAAGUAUCCCACCUGGGGAGUACGUUCGCAAGAAUGAAACCCAAAGGAAUUGACG